UACGUAGGCAGCAAGCGUUGUUCGGAGUUACUGGGCGUAAAGAGUGUGUAGGCGGUUCGCUAAGUUUGGUGUGAAAUCUCCCGGCUUAACUGGGAGGGUGCGCCGAAAACUGGCGGGCUAGAGUGUGGGAGAGGGAAGCGGAAUUCCUGGUGUAGCGGUGAAAUGCGUAGAUAUCAGGAGGAACACCGGUGGUGUAGACGGCUUCCUGGACCACAACUGACGCUGAGACACGAAAGCGUGGGGAGCAAACAGGAUUAGAAACCCCCGUAGUCC
rnacentral:rRNA from 1 species